AUGCUCCAUAGUGGAUAUGUCCUGGAAUGGUAUAUCCUCGAAAGAUCCGUCGCCUUAGGAUGGGACUGCGUCCGAUUAGGUUGUUGGCGGGGUAACGGCCCACCAAGCCUUUUAUCGGUACGGGUUGUGGGAGCAAGAUCCCGGAGAUGGAUUCUGAGACAUGAAUCCAGGCCCUACGGGGCGCAGCAGGCGCGCAAACUUUACAAUGCGAGCAAUCGUGAUAAGGAAACCCUGAGUGCCUGUCGAUGCAGGCUGUUCAUAUAUCUAAAUCAUAUGUGAAGAAAGGGCAGGGCAAGACCGGUGCCAGCCGCCGCGGUAAUACCGGCUGCUCGAGUGAUGGCCACUAUUACUGGGUUUAAAGCGUCCGUAGCUUGACUGUUAGGUCUCUUGGGAAAUCUUCGCGCUCAACGUGAAGGCGUCUAAGAGAUACCGGCAGUCUUGGAACUGGGAGAGGUAAACCGUACUUCGGGGGUAGGAGUGAAAUCUUGUAAUCCUCGAGGGACGACCUAUGGCGAAGGCAGUUUACCAGAACAGCUUCGACAGUGAGGGACGAAAGCUGGGGGAGCAAACGGGAUUAGAUACCCCGGUAGUCCCAGCCGUAAACAAUGUGCGUUAGGUGUGUCGGUAACCACGUGUUACUGAUGCGCCGAAGAGAAAUCGUGAAACGCACCACCUGGGAAGUACGGUCGCAAGGCUGAAACUUAAAGGAAUUGGCGGGGGAGCACCACAACAGGUGGAGC
rnacentral:rRNA from 1 species